rnacentral:rRNA from 1 species
AAUAGUAAUGUUCUUGAAACCCAAAGAAUUUGGCGGUAUUUUAUUCUUUUUUAGAGGAACCUGUCCUGUAAUUGAUAGUCCACGAUGGAAAUUACUUGUUCUUGUAUUCAUUUUGUAUACCUCCGUCAUCAGAGUAUCUUUUUAGAGUUAAUAUUCUAAAUAUACAAAAUAUAUUAUGUCAGGUCAAGGUGCAAUUUAUGGGCAAGUAGAGAUGGGUUACAAUAAAAUUAUUUAUACGGAUUAUUAUUAUUAUAGAUAAUAUGAAGGUGGAUUUAAAAGUAAAAUUAUUUACUUAAUAUUUUGAUUUUAGCUCUAAAAUAUGCACACAUCGCCCGUCGCUCUUAUUUUAAAAUAAGAUAAGUCGUAACAUAGUAGGGGUACCGGAAGGUGUCCCUA